GGAGGGAUGCCGGAGCCUGGCUGAACGGGACGCACUCGAAAUGCGUUGUGGGCAUUGCGCCCACCGGGGGUUCAAAUCCCUCUCCCUCCG
rnacentral:tRNA from 1 species